AUUGAACGCUGGCGGCAAGCCUACCACAUGCAAGUCGAACAAGUGGCGGACGGGUGAGUAAUGUCUGGGACACUGCCUGACGGAGGGGGAUAACUACUGGAAACGGUAGCUAAUACCGCAUACCAUCGGAUGUGCCCAGAUGGGAUUAGCUAUUAGGGGGGGUAAAGGCGCACCUAGGCGACGAUCCCUAGCUGGUCUGAGAGGAUGACCAGCCACACGGGAAAUGAGACACGGUCCAGACUCCUACGGUAGACAGCAGUGGGGAAUAUUGCACAAUGGGCGCAAGCCUGAUGCAGACAUGCCGCGUGUAUGAAGAAGGCCUUCGGGUUGUAAAGUACUUUCAGCGGGGAGGCGUUACCCGCAGAAGAAGCACCGGCUAACUCAGUGCCAGCAGCCGCGGUAAUUC
rnacentral:rRNA from 1 species